AUUGAACGCUGGCGGCAGGCCCAACACAUGCAAGUCGAACGAGGGGCGGACGGGUGAGUAAUGUUUGGGAAACUGCCCGAUGGAGGGGGCUAACUACUGGAAACGGUAGCUAAUACCGCAUACCAUCGGAUGUGCCCAGAUGGGAUUGGCUAGUAGGUGGGGUAAAGGCUCACCUAGGCGACGAUCCAUAGCUGGUCUGAGAGGAUGACCAGCCACACUGGAACUGAGCCACGGUCCAGACUCCUACGGGAGGCAGCAGUGGGGAAUAUUGCACAAUGGGCGCAAGCCUGAUGCAGCCAUGCCGCGUGUGUGAAGAAGGCCUUCGGGUUGUAAAGCACUUUCAGCGGGGAGGCGUUACCCGCAGAAGAAGCACCGGCUAACUCCGUGCCAGCAGCCGCGGUAAUUC
rnacentral:rRNA from 1 species